rnacentral:rRNA from 1 species
UCCUUAGUAACGGCGAGCGAAGUGGGAACCAGCCCAGGUCUGGAAUCUCCCGGUCGGCAUUAGUCGUGACUGGGCGAAUUGUGGUCUGGAGAGGCAGACUGUCCCGAUCCACCGCCUGCGAGCCCGAAGUUGACUUGGAACGGCACGCCAGAGAGGGUGAGAGCCCCGUAGGGCAUGGAAAUCGUUAGCGGCGGGACGAGGGUCUGUUCUCGUAGAGUCGGGUUGUUUGGGAAUGCAGCCCAAAGUGGGUGGUAGACUCCAUCCAAGGCUAAAUACGGGCGCGAGACCGAUAGCUGACAAGUACCGUGAGGGAAAGGUGAAAAGCACUUUGAAGAGAGAGUUCAAUAGACCGUGAAACCGUUGGUAGGGAAGCUCAGGGUGUCGAGGUUGUCGUGCUUUGUCUGGGUUCAUCUGGUGGUGUAGCCGCCGCCGGUGCAUUUCCAGUCGAGGUUGGACCGUCAGUCGGGAAGACGCGGGAAUCUGGUUGUCGACGUUGGGGAGGUAGGCCUUGCGGUUGCUCUUGAGUGCCCAGGGUCACGUAUAGCCCUUCGCCGUGAUCUCCGUUGUCUUUCAGGUGCGUUGGAUGGCCGUUCGUCCAUUGUUGGUAGGUGCAGUCUCCCCUCGUGGGAGUUCGGGCCGUAGACGGAGUCGCUUGACGUUGCGUAGCUUGUGUUCCGUUCUCUCGCCGUUUGAUUCGUUCGACGGUGUAGGGUGCGGCACGGCACGCGGUGUUCGAGUCCUACGUACGCGUGUCCAAGUUCUGUGCCGAGGUGACUGGCGAAGAGUCGUUACUCUGUGCCCCGUCUUGAAACACGGACCAAGGAGUGCAAGAGAUGCGCAAGUCGGAAGGGUUGUGUCAGGGCCUCGGUCCUGCCUGAGAGACCCAUGUGUUUGGAACGGGCGAAGUGAGAGCAAUUCGUGGGUGCGAGAGCCCUGGGGAGACCCGAGGCGCAUCGCUGGCCGAGCCGUAUGGUCACGCUGUGGCCGGUUUCGAGUGCGAGCGUAUCUGUUGCGACCCGAAAGAUGGUGAACUAUGCCUGAGGAGGGUGAAGCCAGAGGAAACUCUGGUGGAGGCCCGUAGCGGUUCUGACGUGCAAAUCGAUCGUCGCACUUGGGUAUAGGGCGAAAGACUAAUCGAACC